GUAGGUGGCAAGCGUUGUCCGGGAAUUAUUGGGGCGUAAAGCGCGCGCAGGUGGUUCUUUAAGUCUGAUGUGAAAGCCCACGGGCUCAACCGUGGAGGGUCAUUGGAAACUGGAGAACUUGAGUACAGAAGAGGAAAGCGGAAUUCCACGUGUAGCGGUGAAAUGCGUAGAGAUGUGGAGGAACACCAGUGGCGAAGGCGGCUUUCUGGUCUGUAACUGACGCUGAGGCGCGAAAGCGUGGGGAGCAAACAGGAUUAGAUACCCUGGUAGUCCACGCCGUAAACGAUGAGUGCUAAGUGUUAGGUGGUUUCCGCCCCUUAGUGCUGCAGCUAACGCAUUAAGCACUCCGCCUGGGGAGUACGGCCGCAAAGGCUG
rnacentral:rRNA from 1 species